rnacentral:rRNA from 1 species
AUCAACGCUGGCGGCGUGCCUCAGACAUGCAAGUCGAACGAUUAAGACUUCCUUCGGGAAGUGCAUAAAGUGGCGCACGGGUGAGUAACACGUAAGUAAUCUACCUUCGAGUGGGGAAUAACGUCCGGAAACGGACGCUAAUACCGCAUAAUGCAGCGGCAUCGAAAGAUGACAGUUGUUAAAGGAGCAAUUCGCUUGAAGAGGAGCUUGCGGCAGAUUAGCUAGUUGGUAAGGUAAUGGCUUACCAAGGCUACGAUCUGUAUCCGGUCUAAGAGGACGGUCGGACACACUGACACUGAAUACACGGGUCCAGACUCCUACGGGAGGCAGCAGUGGGGAAUUUUGCGCAAUGGGGGAAAGCCUGACCAGCAACGCCGCGUGAAGGAUGAAGUCCCUUUCGGUACGUAAACUCCUUUCGAACGGGACGAAUAAUGACGGUACCAUUUAUAAGCUCCGGCUAACUUCGUGCCAGCAGCCGCGGUAAUACGUAGGGGAGCAAGCGUUGUUCGGAUUAUUGGGCGUAAAGGGCGCGUAGGCGUGUCCAAAGUCAGUAGUGAAAUCUCCUGAGCUCAACUUAGAAGGUCAUGCUGCCGAUACUGCUGUGCUAGGAGUACUGGAGAGGUGAAUGGAAUUCCUGGUGUAGCGGUGAAAUGCGUAGAUAUCAGGAGGAACACCUGUGGCUGAAGACGGGCUGCACUGGGCAGUACACUGACGCUGAGUGCGCGAAAGCUAGGGGAGCAAACAGGGAUUAGAUACCCUGGUAGUCCUAGGCCCUAAACGAUGAAUACUUGGUGUAUCGGGUACUCCUAUGCUCCGGUGUGCCGUAGCUAACGCUUUUAGCUAUCCGCCUGGGGAGUACGUACGCAAGUGCUGAAACUCAAAGGAAUUGACGGGGACCCGCACAAGCGGUGGAGCAUGUGGUUCAAUUCGACGCAACGCGAAGAACCUUACCUGGGCUCGAAGCGCAGUGGAUCGGUGUAGAAAUACACCUUCCCGCAAGGGCUGCUGCGGAGGUGCUGCAUGGCUGUCGUCAGCUCGUGUCGUGAGAUGUUGGGUUAAGUCCCGCAACGAGCGCAACCCUUAUCACUAGUUGCCAUCACGUCAUGGUGGGCACUCUAGAGGAACCGCCCCGGAUAACGGGGAGGAAGGUGGGGAUGACGUCAAGUCCUCAUGGCCUUUAUGUCCAGGGCUACACACGUGCUACAAUGGGUGGUACAAACCGUCGCAAACCCGUGAGGGGGAGCUAAUCGGAAAAAGCCAUCCUCAGUUCGGAUUGGAGUCUGCAACUCGACUCCAUGAAGCUGGAAUCGCUAGUAAUCGCAGAUCAGCACGCUGCGGUGAAUACGUUCCCGGGCCUUGUACACACCGCCCGUCACAUCACGAAAGUGGGCUGUACUAGAAGCCGGUAGGCUAACCCGCAAGGGGAGUAGCCGUCCAAGGUAUAGCUCAUGAUUGGGGUG